rnacentral:piRNA from 1 species
UAGAUGUCACGCUGCAUCCCCUCCAAU